rnacentral:RNase_P_RNA from 1 species
CGAGUGUGCUAUGCGAUAGAGUGCCUACGGCAUUAGGAAAGUCCGGGCAUCACAGAGCAGGAUAGCAGCUAACGGCUGCCGAGGGCGACCUCAGGGCUAGUGCAACAGAAAUAUACCGCCCGAUUUUUUCGGGUAAGGAUGGAAAGGCGAGGUAAGAGCUCACCGGGGCAAUAGAGAUAUUGCUGCCAUGUAAACCCUAUCCGAUGCAACGCCUGUUGGUGUAAUGCGUCAACAUCUGCUCGAUGGGCGCAUUGCGGAAUGGCGGCUUGAGCCCUGCGGCGACGCAGGGACCAGAUAGAUUAUCGCACACGACAGAACCCGGCUUAUCGGCACACUCGUACC